UGUGAAGGGAGGAAGAAUUGAGGGGAGGCUGCUGAGGAUCCUAGGCUGCUCCUCGUGGGAACCCUGUGGUGGGCCAGGUGGCUGAGGGUGGGGACUUUUCAGGAGAGGGUCUACAUGGGCUCUACUUGAGAGCAAGGGCUCAUCCCACCCGCACCCCGAUGUCACAGGGUGUCUUCCCCUAUCUUGGCAAUCUGCUCAGUGACCUGCUGAUGCUGCAACUGGCGAUGGUUGACUAUCUCGAGGGGAAUGAGAUCAACCUUGAGAAGAGGACUGAGGAGCAGCUGUGGCACUCCCUGCAGGGGAGGGGAAAGAGGAAUACCGAGUCAUGAGGAAGAUCCUGCUGCUCCAGGAGGCUGCCAAGAAUUACAACCUAGAACCCGAGGGAGCGAUUUGCGGCCUGGCUCCAGGACAUGCAGUUGCUCAACGAGAAUGAGAGGUCAAAGACCAAGGGAAGAGGUCAUCAAGAGGUCAAGUCUAAUCUACCUAUGGAUGUGGCAGCCUUAACUAUGGAUGUUCAAACCAGACAUUGCCAGCAGAACCACAUCUCUUCACCCAUAGCACGGACUGUAGGAGAAAGCCCAGAGGAGCAAUGAAGACAAAGAAGACAUAACACCUGCAAAAAGUCAGUGGAGUAUUUCUCCAUAACAAACCUUCCAGGUGAGUGACGGUCAGUAUCUUCCACUGCUCCAGCUCUCACAAUAAACCUAGAACCUGCCCUGGGUAAGCUGGAGGAC